GCCCCGGUGGCGGAAUGGUAGACGCAGUUGACUCAAAAUCAACCGAGUAAUGUCGUGCUGGUUCAAGUCCAGUCCGGGGCACCA
rnacentral:tRNA from 1 species